GCUGGCAGCUAGCUCUCUGCAACUCUCACAUGGUUGUCCACUGAAGCUAAGCAGGGAUGUGCCUGGUAAGUACAUUGAUGGGAGACCGCAUGGGAAGGCUAGGUUGCUGCCAGAA
ensembl:rRNA 5S_rRNA 5S ribosomal RNA